rnacentral:rRNA from 1 species
CACCGCGGUUAUACGAGUAACCCUUAUUAAUAUUUUUCCGGCGUAAAGAGUGGUUUAAGAAAAAUCCUUUAAACAAUUAAAGUUAAGACCUCAUCAAGCUGUUAUACGCUCCCAUGAUUGGAAUGAUCGACGACGAAAGUGACUUUAUAACAUUAGAAAUCUUGAUCCCACGACAGUUGGGCCC